CCAACAUUAUUUUUGUGCAGAUUUCAAUUCAUGCUGCACUCAUCCUGGGGGCAAAAGUUAAAGGUUUUCUAAAAAGCUACUUAGUGAAUGUCUUAGUUAAUGGAAAAGAAAAUAAGUCAAUCCUUUUUUUUCUAACCUUGAAGUUGCAAAGAUUGACAAUGAACUCUGUAAUGGUGCAUUCUCCUCUUGUGUGGUUUUUGAAAGCUGAGUUAUCCUUCCUGUAAUGAUUCUGCACCUGCAAACUAUACGUGGCUUCCUCCAGGCAGUAAAUCUACAGCCCAGGCUCCCUGCAUCUUAUGGCUCCAAUCACUUUGGAUCUCAUCGUCGCCUGCACAUUGCCAUACACAGGGAAGGAGAAGAGAUGGAGAAGGCAAAGACUUUCUGAAAGCCGUGGCUAAAAGCUGGCAUGUGUCACAUCAGCUCACAUUCCAUUGUAGAGACGGGGUUUCACCGUGUUAGCCAGGAUGGUCUUGAUAUCCUGACCUCGUGAUCCGCCCGCCUUGGCUUCCCAAAGUGCUGGGAUUACAGGCGUGAGCCACCGCUCCCGGCCUGGCAGGCAUUCUUGAGGCAAACGGGAAAUGGGUGAACGGGAGGAACAUUGGCAGCACUUGUGGUCUGCACCAAGAACUGAAUCGAAUUUCCAUGUGUUAUUGAAUGUUCACAAAGACCUUGUACAGCGAGUGUUACUACCUCUGGUCAAUGAUUCAACUCAAGGCUCAGAAAAGUCAAGUGUCUUGUCCAGGGACACUUAGUCAGAAGUGAAUCCAAGGUUUAAGCUCAAGUCUGCCUAACUCUGAAUUUCACAGCCUUUUGCUACAUAUGGCGAAUAAUAUAUCCCUGAGCACUAAAGGCAGACUCCAAGGAUCUUGUCUCUGCAAUCAUCAUUCUGGCCAUAAUUUAUGAAAAGCAACCCAAAGUAUGUGAUGUAAUAAAAAGUACUAUCUAUGAGUUUACCCUUCCAAAAAUUGAACUGAAUUCUGAGCUCUAAAUUUGGAAUCAAAAGAACUUUUCUCUGCACUAAUCAUUUGGAACAUCACUUAAAGAAAACAACGAAAAACUGGUGUCCCCUGAGAGAAAGCAAUACAAAACAUUAUGCAUAAAGAAAUCCUUCCAAAAAAUAAACCAAAUCCAGUCAAAUCUCUAGUUUUGACUCCUAGCUUACCGGAAAUACGUGAUGGGAAAAAAAUGAAAUGACACCACUAUGAUUCAAUCAGCCAAAUCCAGCAUAUGCAAAUUUCUACCAGAUAAAUGGUUUAGUUUCUUCCCCAAACAAAUGGCACAAGGAAACGGAGGUAAGAAUGGGAUGCUGUUAUAGAUUUUAAAAGAUUUAAGAAAGUAUAAACUAAAUACACUAUGUGCAUCCUCUCUGAACGUGCUUCAAACAUAUCAAGGGGUCAAUGAGCAGUUUUGAAACAAUAAGGGAAUUUGAACACUGAAUGGUUGUCAGAAGAUAGUAAGAGAUCAUUAUUAAUUUUACUAGACAUAAUGAUGUUCUGAUUUUGUUUUUUUUUUAAAAAAAAAACAGUGUUAUUUCCUUUAUAGAUACAUCAUAUAGUAUUAACUAAUGAAAUGCUUUGAUAUCUGGAACGUUUAAAAAAUAUUCCCGAUGGAGUAAGUGCAAAGAAACAGGUAAGCAAAAUGCUGAUAAUUGCUGAAACACAGGAUGUGUACCUGGGGCUUCAUUUACUAUCUCUUCAUUUUCUAUUUUGAUAUUUGUUGGACAUUCUCAUAAAAAGGAAAGUUAUGUUUUAUUUUCUCAUAAGCUAGUAAUGAAAUAGCCCUACGUAACUGAUAUUGUAGAGACAAGAAUAGGUGUAAUAGAGCUUAAGGUUUUCAUUUAAAAAACUAUCUGUAGACUUCAAUGGAUCUUAGGUGGCAUCCAUGCAAUAACACUCGUGGAACAUGCAGGACAGGUGUGGAGCUCCAUCUUCACACAGUGACAUUUUUUAUGCUUCUGUUUUCCCUAAGAGUGGAGUGAGAGGAUGAUUAUUUUAUAUCAUGGACUUCUUCCCUGCUAUACUUUUUUUAAUUAUUUUACUUUCACUUCUGGGAUACAUGUGCUGAGCAUGCAGGCUUGUUUACAUAGGUAUACAUCUGCCAUGGUGGUUUGCUGCACCUAUCAACCCAUCAUACAGGUUUUAAGCCCUGCAUGCAUUAGGUAUUCGCCCUAAUGCUCUCCCUCGCCUUUCCCCCCACCCCCUGAUAGCCCCCAGUGAGUCAUAUUCCCCUCCCUGUGUCCAUGUGUUCUCAUUGUUCAACUCCCAUUUAUGAGUGAGAAUAUGUGGUGUUUAGUUUUCUGUUCCUGUGUUAGUUUGCUGAGAAUGAUGUUUUCCAGCUUCAUCCAUGUCCCUGAAAAGGACAUGAGCUCAUUCUUUUUUAUGGCUGCAUAGUAUUCCACGGUGUUAUAUGUGCCACAUUUUCUUAAUCCAGUCUGUCAUUGAUGGACAUUUGGGUUGUUUCCAAGUCUUUGCUAUUGUAAAUAGUGCUGCAAUAAACAUAUGUGUGCAUGUGUCUUUGUAGUAGAAUGAUUUAUAAUCCUUUGGGUAUAUGCCCAGUAAUGGGACUGAUGGGUCAAAUGGUAUUUCUGGUUCUAGAUCCUUGAGGAAUUGCCACACUGUCUUCCACAAUGGUUGAACUAAUUUAUACUCCCACCAACAGGGUAAAAGCAUUCCUAUUUCUCCACAUCCUCUCCAGCAUCUGUUGUUUCCAAAUGUUUUAAUGAUUGCCAUUCCACCUGGCGUGAGAUGGUAUCUCAUUGUGGUUUUGAUUUUCAUUUCUCUAAUGACCAGUGAUGAUAAGCUUUUUUUCAUAUGUUUGUUGGCCACAUAAAUGUCUUCUUUUGACUUUUAUGUGGAAACAAAUUUAACUGCACAGAGAGGUGAAAAUUAAUUAAUAACUUUUAAAGUAAUUCCCUAAGUUUCUAAGGAUCUAUAUGUUUCCAUCUGACUUUAUUUUAUUUAAGCUCUUGAUUGAUGCUGCAUUUGGAGCAGGUUCAUGAACAUGAAUAGAGUUAAUCUGGGACAGAUUUCCCUCAUUUGAUUUUUUCACUGUUUCCAUCACAGAACUUAUUUCAUGCUCACCAUGUUUGCAGGCAUUGAGCUUGGUACUGGAGCCACAGAGCUGGAUCAGACAGACUUGUGCAAAUAUUUCAGGUUUUUUUUGUGGGGGGGUCAUAUUUAUAGAUAAAUAACAGUAAAGAGUGACGGGUUCUUAUGAAAAUGCAUACACAGUGAAGUAGAGGGUGAAAAGGAGGGAUGUGUUCUAUGAGGAGGAAGAGUGAUAAGAAAGUGUAAGGGGAUGUGUCUGUGUCUAGACAUAUGUGUGUUCACGUGUGUGCGUGCUUGUGUGUACUGCAUGUGUAUAUGUGUGGCCAUGCACCUGUGUGCAUGUUCAUGUGUGUGUGUGUAUGUGUCUGUGUUGAGGACUAAAUUAAUUGGGCUUAUGGAAGCAGGGAGCCACUGAUAGGUUUAAUUAGAGACUGACAUGAUAUGAUAGUUUAGGUGGAUUUCUCUGGGGGCUGUGUUGAGGGACAGUGGGGAGGAGAGCUAGAAGGAAGAAAAGGACACAUGCAUAACAGAAGCAAUAUCUGUCUAUGGGAUGGUGGAAAGAAUCAGAAAAGACUUAAUAAAACAUGUGACACUUUAACUGAAUCUUGAAAUAGACAAGUGUUGGAGGAGGGAGUUGGACCAGAUACUUCAUGCAAAGGGAAGAAAAGUGCACAAACAAAAUAUGAGAAACAAGGCAGACAGGCAUUUUUUUAAAAUUUUCGCACCCACUGAUAGACCAGUGAUGCAUUCACAUCGUCUGCAUUCAUGAUCAACAAAAGUGCUUUCCUAGAACAUGAACCUCAACCCAAGUGUCGCCUCAAGUAGUGUAUGCAUGAACUCAAGCAUUAAAUUAGAAUUGAUUUUUUAAAAAACUCACACAAACAGAUGUAUUAUUUAAAAAUCUUUAAAGCAGGUUUAAACAGUUUUCAGGAUUAAAAGCAGCCACUAUUAGAAAGAACAAAAAUACAUUUGACAUAAAUAUAAGGAGCCUCAAUAGAACCUCCUGUACCCAGUCAUUGUCAAUGCCACAUCCAUUCAUUCACCAGCCCUUAUAUCAAUGCUUGCUGGGCUCACUUACCACGAUCAGCACGUGCAUGUCCUUAUCUGAAAGCUUGCCACUCAAAUGUGCUCAGUCUUACCUGUGUGGCUGGGAGUGUUGGGGAUUUAAUGUCAAGGGAAAGAAUCUUCCAUCAAUGAAUGAUGAAAGUUAGUUUUCACAACUUCCGGUCCCCUUGGCCCUCAUCAAAGGGCUCCAGGUGAGGUUUGGGCUCCUUGCUAUCCUCCGAGUUUCCACGGUAGUUUUAAGCACCAUUGCCCGUGGUAAUGGCUGACAUUGAUACUGCACUUUUUUUUUAUUUAAGAUGGAGUUCCCCUCUGCCACCCAGACUGGAGUACAGUGGCGCGAUCCUGGCCAUCGCAACCUCCGCCUCCCAGAUCCCUCCUACAACACAUGAGAAUUGUGGGUGCUACAAUUCAAGAUGAGAUUUGAGUGGGGACAAAGUCAAACCAUAUCAUUAGAUAGGACACUGGAGAAAGGCAAGAAAGAAAAGACAUCUGAAGAAUGAAGGGAGCCAAAGAAAUGCCAACAUUUUGCUUUUUGAAGAAAAGCUAAAUUAAAGUCAAAAUGGAUUUAUCAAUUUCCUUGGGUUCGUGAAUGUACAGAACUUUAUUAAGACUGUCAUGCUGUCAUCAUGGCUGGAUCUGAUACGGCCACCGUGGACCUUGAGGUGACCUCGGGAAUGGAGACAGUGCAUGGGAGAGAAUCACAUUGGAAGGGGCCUGGGUUUCUGAAGACCCUGUAAGACAGAUCUCCUUGCAGCCCUGACUGCCCACAUUAGGGCUUUUAUGUUAGGGUGAAGUUACCUUGCAUUGUCAUAUAAGCAAUUGCUAUUUGUGGUGUCUUGCAAAUAAACCUAUUCUGAUCU
rnacentral:lncRNA from 1 species